UACGGAGGGAGCUAGCGUUGUUCGGAAUUACUGGGCGUAAAGCGCGCGUAGGCGGCUUUGUAAGUUAGAGGGGAAAGCCUGGAGCUCAACUUCAGAAUUGCCUUUAAGACUGCAUCGCUUGAAUCCGGGAGAGGUGAGUGGAAUUCCGAGUGUAGAGGUGAAAUUCGUAGAUAUUCGGAAGAACACCAGUGGCGAAGGCGGCUCACUGGACCGGCAUUGACGCUGAGGUGCGAAAGCGUGGGGAGCAAACAGG
rnacentral:rRNA from 1 species